CUGCCUAGGCCACUUAAUAUUAAUUCUGUUUGACAUAAGAGGAGGCAGGGACACUAGGGAGAUUUCUUUAGGGGUACAGUGUGGUUUGUGCAAGUGUGAAUUAUGGGCAAACAUUACACAGGUCCUUCAAUUUGUCCCUGGCCAUCUGGGUAUUGCUAAACACAUCUGUUCCUUCUCCUGGAGAGGAUGCUCCAGGGUUGCCACGCGCUUUGAAUUAUGUUAAGAGACAGGGUUCCAUUUGUCCACUUCUCUGGUUUGCAGGGGCAGCGCAGGGGAGCCUUGGUUUGCUGUGAUUGGCAUUCAUUCAGGGCCUGGGUUUUUAACUCUGAAUUUUGAUUUGGGCGUUUGCCUGGUGUGAUAUUCUGCCAGGGUCUUCCCAGUCUGUUCUCUGCUGUUUUGCUGCUAAAGAUUUACAGCUAAUGAAGGGAUAAAGAAAGGUCACGGCGAGAGGCGGCAGCAUGUGGUGGUGACUCACUGGCGAGGCCUGGUGUGGAGCCAGUUUGGGUGGAACACUCGACUGGCUGCUGGGCCUGUUUUCACGUGGCUCUCGGCCAUGGCCCUGCAGCAAGCAGUUUCUCGACAGUUCCUGGUCAGAGGAAAGUCAUGGUCGUUCUGUCUUCCCCUGCUGUCAUGGACUCAAGACAAGACGAUAAAGCCUGUUGUCCAUUUGACAAAGAAACCACAGGCUGCCCUUUGGACUGCGAUCUCUCUCCUUCCAUCAGAUCAGCCCUUCAGUCACGCAAUCGCUGCUUCUUCCACUGUCCCCAGCUGCCUGGGCUCUGAGACGUCUGUUGGAAUAACUGCACAACAUGAGGCUGUUGAUCAUCUCUUGCAUGCUAAAGGCUUGUGA
rnacentral:lncRNA from 1 species